GACGAACGCUGGCGGCGUGCUUAACACAUGCAAGUCGAACGGAAAGGCCCCUUUGGGGGUACUCGAGUGGCGAACGGGUGAGUAACACGUGAGUAACCUGCCCUUGACUUCGGGAUAACUUCAGGAAACUGGGGCUAAUACCGGAUAGGAAUCCUUGCUGCAUGGUGGGGGUUGGAAAGCUUCGGCGGUUUUGGAUGGACUCGCGGCUUAUCAGCUUGUUGGUGGGGUAGUGGCUUACCAAGGCUUUGACGGGUAGCCGGCCUGAGAGGGCGACCGGCCACAUUGGGACUGAGAUACGGCCCAGACUCCUACGGGAGGCAGCAGUGGGGAAUAUUGCACAAUGGGCGGAAGCCUGAUGCAGCAACGCCGCGUGCGGGAGGACGGCUUUCGGGUUGUAAACCGCUUUCAGCAGGGGCGAAGCUUGUGGUGACGGUACCUGCAGAAGAAGCACCGGCUAACUACGUG
rnacentral:rRNA from 1 species